CUCCGCGGAUACAGCCGGCCGGGUACCGACAGCAAACCAAAUAUAAGCUUGUCGUGGGGUUUCUCCUGACACAUUUAAGGAAAUUCAAGAAAUCGAAUGCAUCAUCUCUGAGGGGAAAAGGAGAUAAAGGUCCAGAACCCAUCCAAACGCUUCGUUCGGACCAGAUCUUUUCCAAAGGGAACGCACCAGAUGAUGGGCAUGAAAGGCCCUUAGAAAUGAGAUCAAUCUCGGCCUCUCUCUGAGGACAGCACUCAGGACCAGAGACUGGAGCCGGCUUGUUCAAGGUCACUCGGCGAGCUAAUGGAAGACCCGGGGCCACAGGUCAGAGGUCAUGGUUCACUGCACUAUUUUAUUCUGCACAUACACACAAAAAUGAUUUGGGGAAAUUCUUUAGCAAAGGCAGAAGAGUGAAAGCUGGCAAAUUUUGGAUGGAAAUUUAAGACAGAGCAUGAGUCAGAUCUCUUUAAAGUAUCACUCAGUGUUUUUGCUGUGACAGUACAUAAAAAUAACACUAGCUAACUAGUUUAGUGAAGGCUUGCCACCAGCCAGACACUGCCUUAAACACUUGACACACUUUUUUGCAUUUAAAUCUCCAAACGAUGCUCUGAGAAAGGAAUCCAUUUCACAGAUGAGGAAACUGAGACUUAGGGAAAGGAACUUUCCCAAAGGUACCCGGAUAGGGCAAUUUUGACAGCGGCUGGAGCAUAACAACACUCUGAAAUUCACAGCCAUUCUCGUCACAUGUCCCUUAGAUUUCUGAUGCUGAGAUUGAGCCUCGUAUUCAGUCUAUGCGGGCACCAUCUGCAGCUGUAGAGGCCUUGUUCUAAACAUCUCACGUCAGCCCUGCCAAAGUGCAGCUUUGCAAGUGAGCCCCCAGAAACCCAUUCAUUCAUUUAUCCAUUCAAUAAUUUUUUUUUCUUUUUAGGGCCGCACCCGAUGCAUAUGGAAGUUCCUGGGCUAGGGGUCGAAUUGGAGCUGGAGCUGCCGGCUUGUAUCACAGCCACAGCAACAUGAGACCUGAGCUGGUGACCUACACCUCAGCUCACAGCAACACCAGAUCCUUAACCCACUGAGUGAGGCCAGGGAUGGAACCAGCAUCCUCAGGGAUACUAGUCAGGUUCUUAACCCACUGAGCCACAAUGGGAACCCUAUUCAAUAAUUUUUAUUUAUGGCCAGAAGCAGUCCAGACACUGAGGGAAACAUGAAGAAAUGUAAAACACAACUCGUCUCUCAAGUAAUUCCCAGUCUAUCUAGGGAUCAAUGCCCCUAAGUCCAGCAUGAAGAUCUGGGAGAUAGGAGAGAUUUAAAACAUCCUGGCCCAACUUCCUACCCAAGGCAAGAAGCCCCCCUACCCUAUUCCCACCAGAUCCAGCUUCUGCUGAAAUAAGUCUGGAGACAGAGAAUUUAGGGCUCAACCAUGCAGGAAGCCAGAUCUUUCCAGUUCUAAUUGUGAGAAAGACAAAAACAACAACAACAACAAAACCUCUCUCUGAUUUUAAGCUGAAAUUCAGCUUCUGGUAACGUUUGCCCUCCUGGCACGUUCACAGGCCGCUGUCCCAUCUUCCCUGAGUCAUUUGUGUGCCCUAAAUGGUUCCUCAGGCAAGUCCUCACCAUCCAUCUCCAGGUGCCAAUUCCUUCCCACAAGGCUCCCUUCGUGGAAGGUGUAUAGGGGGCGUCACAAGACACGAUAUUGAUUAAUUUGCUAAAUCUGUGCUUUCUGGGGUGUUCCGUAGAACACUAGUUCCACAGAGCUUAAGUAAGUACGUGCUCCAGCAAAAUAAACGCCCAUCCAUUAUUCCAUCCGAGAAAUCUCGGCAAAGCCAACCAGGUUCCAUUACUGAAACUUACCACCUCCAAGGUUAUGAGAGACUCGUGUAAGCCUGCAAAAGCAGAUACGGAAUGCUGUGAUGUCCCCCAGUCUUUUCAUGCCAGACUGGACUCUGCUCACGGAGCAUUUCCCAGAGACACUGUUCCUCAGAGAACUUUUGGGGGAAAGGUAAGUUAAAAACAAACAAACAAAAGUAAUCCAGACAGUGACCCCAUAAGCACUAAAGACCAUUCUGAAGCUGGAUGGCGGGGCGGAAGCCAUCUUUUCCUGCCGCCCCCACUUGGCACUCAACAGAUCUGUGCCCAUGGCCUUGACUUCCGAUGGCCAGCACUGCAUGUCUGCCUGAGAGCUUUGCAGCUACUGGAGACGGUACCCACGAUGGCAACGGGCUGGAAUUCCUAGAAAUCCAGCGGCCCUCCUCCCCCAGAGCAGCUGUCAACCCAGACGGACAGGCGGGCUCCUCCACCCUUGGUGGAGAUGACUCAAGGGCAUGGUUCCGCUGGAGGUUCCUUUCCAUCCCGCCUCAUUUCCUCGCGCCUCUGCUGCUUUUUCCUGCCAUCUCCUUCCACAGAAACGAUUGGCACUCCAGUCCCGUCCGGGCUCUGCUUUUGGUGGAAUGGGACUGGGCCAUCAUCUUCUUCUGCACCAGAUGCACGCGCCUCACAAAUCUCGCCCUGCCUCGGUCUCCCCACGUGUUUUUCUAGGGCUUGGGGACUCAGUCUGGCCAGGAUGGAAGAGGACUCCAGACAGGGAAACAUGGGAAAGGGGGGGCAGCUCUCGGGCACAUAAAUCACUGUGCAGCCGAGAGCUCUGCUGCUCCCAAGCCUGCAAGAGGUAAACAACGGGGUCUGAAUUAUUUGGUUUGGAAAAGGAAGAGGCCCCAGGGAGGUACGCGCCGCAGUAAUAAAUGCGGAGGAGAAACAGCUGUGCGCCGCUCGCCCGCCGCCCUCCCUCAGCGCCACCCCGGGCCGUCUCUGAAGGCGGAAAGGCAUCGCUCUCCCCGUCCCAAGUAUGGGCCGGCGUUGCCGAAGCCACAAAUCACCAAGAAAAGUGCAGAAGAAAGUUCGCCAUUUCUUGGAAUGGAGAUCAUAAUAAAUAAUAAUAAUCUGUU
rnacentral:lncRNA from 1 species